rnacentral:lncRNA from 1 species
AACAAGGAAUCUUACUUUAACUAGGAUUCAAGAUCCACUUCACAUCCAUGGAGGCCAAUUACAAGGUUUAAGGCUAAGAAAAUGAAAGAAGCUCUCAGUAGGCUUAUUCAAGACGUUUGGGCUAAGGACACAUCAAGGCUUGAAGAGUUGGAUUCAAAUUUAAGGCUCAUUAAGCUAAUUCAAUUUAUUGGGCUUGAAUGAAUAUAAUAUGGGCUUAAUGAGCAUAAAGGAGCACAUAAGAGAGUUCGGGCCUAAUUAGCUUCACCAA